GGCGGUGAGUCGACGCCGCAUCGGUUGUCAUGGGAACGGCGGCGUAGGCAGGCGCUGACGUCAACUGGCGGCGCGCUGCCCACACUGCGGCACCCAGCGGGCGGUCAGUACCGGAGUGUCUGGCGGCUGGGGAGGCGGUGCGGCCGUCUAGGUCUCAGCCCACCCCGCACGGUCCCGGCGUCGGCUCCGGAGGGACCCUGGGCAGGUCUGCGCCCUCUUCGGUGUCAACCUGGUGCUGAAUCUUGAACCCGUGAAAUACCUUCUUAAUUACAUCUGAGAAAAGGAUCCUUAUUGAAUCAGUGCUUUACACUAUAACUCAAUGCUCUCCAUGAAGCUGAGAUAUGCCCACUGUUGAGAGUGAAGCAAAGGUGAAGACCAAAGUUCGCUUUGAGGAAUUGCUUAAGGCCCACAAUGAUCUAAUACGUGAAAGAAGAAAACUGAAGAAAAAAAUUGGCAAAUCUGGAGAAAAAAUCUCACUUGAUGCAGUCAGAAGCAAUCUUCAGAAAAUCAGAGAAACUAAAAGUGAUGAUAUAAGUGCUGCUAACACUAAGAACCCAGGGAAGAACAUGCGAGUCACUAAAAACAAACCAAGAGAUCCGCAGCCAGCAACUGAAGAUCCAGAUAAUGAUGUUACUGUGGAGGACGACAAGCAAGAAAAGGCAAAUAAAAAGGUUAUAAAAACAGCACUCCAGGUGACAACACAAGAAGUGGAGCCGGAAACUCCUGAGAAGAAGGCGGAUGCAACACCCCAGAAAGCACGGACCAAGCCACUGCCAGGUGUCACUCGUGAGAAAAGUGAGAAGGCCGAGGAAGGAGAAAAUAGUUUAGAUGACGAAGAACUGAUGCAAGCAUACCAGCUCCAAGUAGCUGAAGAAAUGGCAAAGGAGAUUAAGAAGAAAAUCCGGAAGAAACUCAAGGAGCAGUUGGCUUACUUUCCCUCAGAGACUUCCUUUCCUUCAGACACUUCAUUGUAUGAUGACAAAUUGAACGGUGAAAAAAGAAAAAAGAAAAAAAAGAAAGUUCCAAUCCUGUCUAAAUCUGAAACAAGUACAUUGAUCAUCUCUGAUGACCCAGUUGAAGGUGAACAAAAGAAGGAAUCUCCAGUUGGAGCAGUUACUUCAGAUUCUCAUCAAGAUGAUGAAAUAAGCUCAAAGGAACAAAAUGUAGAAGACAAUGUGCAAGAUGACGCAAAAUCCAAACCGAAAAAAAAGAAGAAGGCUAAAACAGCCCUGCGUGAAUGCCAAAAUCUCUGCUGGUUUCUCUGUCCCCCAGUAGGGGCCUUCUGCCAGGGGGUACGCCUGGAUUCUCAACCUCUAGAUGCGCCCAGAAUUGUUUCAGAUGAUAAUGAAGACACUGAUGGUGACGGUGUUCAUGAAAUAACAAGCCGAGAUAGUCCAGUUUAUCCCAAAUGUUUGCUUGAUGAUGACCUUGUCCUGGGAGUUUACAUUCACCGAACUGAUCGGCUUAAGUCAGAUUUUAUGAUUUCUCACCCGAUGGUGAAAAUUCAUGUGGUUGAUGAGAAUACUGGUCAAUAUGUCAAGAAAGAUGACAGUGAACGGCCUGUUUCAUCUUACUAUGAAAAGGAGAAUGUGGAUUAUAUUCUUCCUAUUAUGACCCAGCCAUAUGACUUUAAACAGUUAAAAUCAAGACUUCCAGAGUGGGAAGAACAAAUUAUAUUUAAUGAAAACUUUCCCUAUUUGCUUCGAGAUUUUGAUGAGAGUCCUAAAGUCAUCCUGUUCUUUGAGAUUCUUGAUUUCUUAAGCAUGGAAGAAAUUAAGAACAGCUCUGAAAUUCGAAACCAAGAAUGUGGCUUCCGGAAAAUCGCCUGGGCAUUUCUCAAGCUUCUAGGAGCCAAUGGAAAUGUAAACAUCAAUUCGAAACUUCGCUUGCAGCUGUAUUACCCACCCACAAAGCCUCGAUCCCAAUCAAAUGUCGUUGAGGUUUUUGAGUGGUGGUUAAAAUGUCCAAGAAAUCGUUAUCCAUCAACGUUGUAUGUAACUGUAAGAGGAUUAAAAGUUCCAGAAUGUAUAAAGCCAUCUUAUCGUUCUAUGAUGGCUCUUCAGGAAGAAAAGGGUAAACCAUUGUAUUGUGAACAACACCAUGAGGCACGUUCAGUAGACACAGAACCUGGAUUAGAAGAUUCAAAGGAAGUGGUGAAGUGGAAACGACUGCCUGGGCAGGCUUGCCGUAUCCCAAACAAGCACCUCUUCUCACUAAAUGCAGGAGAGCGAGGAUGUUUUUGUCUUGCUUUCUCCCACAAUGGAAGAAUAUUAGCAGCAGCCUGUGCCAGCCGGGAUGGGUAUCCAAUUAUUUUAUAUGAAAUUCCUUCUGGACGUUUCAUGAGAGAAUUGUGUGGCCACCUCAAUAUCAUUUAUGAUCUUUGCUGGUCAAAAGAUGAUCGCUAUAUUCUUACUGCAUCAUCUGAUGGCACUGCCAGGAUAUGGAAAAAUGAAAUAAACAAUACAAAUACUUUCAGAGUUUUACCUCAUCCUUCUUUUGUUUACACGGCUAAAUUCCACCCAGCUGUAAAAGAGCUGGUGGUUACAGGAUGCUAUGAUUCUGUGAUACGUAUAUGGAAAGUUGAUAUGAGAGAGGAUCCUGCCAUAUUAAUCCGACAGUUUGACGCUCACAAGAGUUUUAUCAACUCUCUCUGUUUUGAUAUUGAAGGUCAUCACAUGUAUUCAGGAGACUGCACAGGGGUGAUUGUUGUUUGGAGUACGUAUGUCAAAGUUAAUGAUGUGCAACACUCAGUGCGUCACUGGAGUGUAAAUAAGGAAAUUAAAGAGAGUGAGUUUAAGGGGAUUCCAAUAAGUUACUUGGAGGUUCAUCCCAAUGGAAAACGUUUGUUAAUUCAUACCAAAGACAGUACUUUGAGAAUUAUGGAUCUCCGAAUAUUAGCAGCAAGGAAAUUUGUAGGUGCAGCAAAUUAUCGAGAGAAGAUUCACAGUACUUUGACACCAUGUGGGACUUUUCUCUUUGCUGGAAGUGAGGAUGGUAUAGUAUAUGUUUGGAACCCAGAAACAGGAGAACAAGUAGCAAUGUAUUCUGACCUGCCAUUCAAGUCACCCAUUCGAGAUAUUGCUUAUCAUCCACUUGAAAAUAUGGUUGCAUUUUGUGCGUUUGGGCAGAAUGAGCCAAUUCUUCUAUAUAUUUAUGAUUUCCAUGUUGCCCAGCAGGAGGCUGAAAUGUUCAAACGCUACAAUGGAACCUUUCCAUUACCUGGAAUACACCAAAAUCAAGAUGCUUUAUGCAUCUGCCCUAGACUGCCUCAUCAGGGCUCUUUUCAGAUUGAUGACUAUGUCCACACUGAAAAUUCUUCAAUGAAGAUGCAGCAAGUGAAACAGAGGAUCGAUUCUGUCACAGAGGUGAUACGAGCCUGUGCUGCAAAGGUUAACAAAAAUCUCUCAUUUACUUCAGUAUCAGCCUCCUCACAACAGUUGAAGUCAAAACAAUCAAACGUGCUGGACGCUCAUCAGAUUCUGCGUCAGUUUGGUUUCACUCAAACUGGGAUUAUCAGUAUAGAAAGAAAGCCUUGUAACCACCAUGUAGAUACAGCACCAACGGUAGUGGCCCUUUAUGACUACACAGCGAAUCGAUCAGAUGAACUAACCAUCCAUCGCGGAGACAUUAUCCGAGUGUUUUUCAAAGAUAAUGAAGACUGGUGGUAUGGCAGCAGAGGAAAGGGACAGGAAGGUUAUUUUCCAGCUAAUCAUGUGGCUAGUGAAACACUGUAUCGAGAACAGCCUCCAGAGGUAAAGGAGCGAUCCCCUCCUUUAACCCCUAAGGAAAAAGCCAAAAUGGAAAAAGCUUUUUCAGCUCCACAAAAGCAGUCAUUCAAGUCCCAGGAUUUCAGACCGGGCUCAGAGUCUAUGACACAUUCUGAGGUGGGCAGAGAACAGAGCCUUGAGGACCACAGACACAUCAUGGAUGUGCAGGGGAAGAAGAACGAGCAAACUGGCCGGAAAGUCACCCUCAUAGAGUAAAGAGCUGAAGAAGAAUGAAGGGGCAAGGAACCAAAUAUACAGAAAUGAAAUGACAAAUUAAACCAAAUGGAAUUUCUCUUCAGAGUUCAGAAAUUUCAGAUGGCCAGGAAGAAAGGAAGGCUCUACUAUUUCUUAUCCUUAUGAAAGAAUCUAGAAAAAUCAGAAGCAAGGAAUCGAUUCUGUGGACUCAAACUAACACAUGGACAGUAACAUUUUAUUCAAGAAACAGUAUCCCAGUCACAUAAGAGAAAAUAAAAACAUCAAGAGUCACGUCAAUCAAAAGGCUCUGUUGAGUGGCAAACUCAGUCUGUGGAUGGACCCAAUUAUCUGCAGGCGAACUGAAUGUCAGCAUCAUUUAGGGUUAACAAUGGACCAGCUAGGCAAAAGCAGACAGCUACUCUCUGCAGAGACCCGGAAAGCAAACUUGGUAAUGAGGUCUGGCAAACUGAAACAUCCAAUACACUUGCGACAGACAGACUAGAGUUGCUGCAAAUCCUACAGUCCCAUGAAGUGAAGGUGUUAAGUGUUUGGUGUUAAGGAUGGACCUUAGUAAGCAAGCCUCCUUCUUGCUGGGGGAGUGGAGAUUCUGCCCCUAAAAAUGAAAUCAGCAUAUCAAUGUCCACAGCCUCGCGCAUUUCCUUUGGAAGGUCGGAGUUCCUCGGACUACAAACAAGAGGACACAAGGGAGAGUGGGAACCUUGAAUCUGGAAGUUUUCAUGAGAAGGGAAAGGUUCCAGGUGGUAAAGAAUAGGAUGGGUCUUGCUCAGCAGAAACAGAGAACAGUCUUCAACAAAAUAGUUUGAUCAAAAAUGAAUCUCACGCACCCCAAUAUUCAUUGCAGCACUAUUUACAAUAUCCAAGACAUGGAGCAGCCUAAAUGUCCGUCAGCAGAUGAAUGGAUAAAGAAGAUGUGGUACAUAUGCACAAUGGAAUAUUAGUCGCCCAUAAUAAGGAAUGAAAUAAUGCCAUUUGCAACAACAUGAAUGGACCUAGAGAUUAUCAUACUAAGUGAAUCCUUUGCAUUGGCCAUAAACUGUGCCAGGUACUUUAUUCAUCGGAACCUCUUUACUCCUCAAAGCCAUCACAUGAAGAGUUAUUAUCUCCGUUUUACAGAAGAGGAAACUGAGGCCCAGCUACAUCAAGGAAAACACAUAAACAAGAAAAGAAAUAAAUCCAUCAUGAAACAGGCCCUAACAUUUCAAGAUCCAGGGGAUUCCUGCCUUUUGUGGCCUCUUCUCUGCCGUUCCCUCAGGGAGAGCUUGGUGGAAGUGACUCCGGGCACGGGAGUUUGGAGCCAGGAAAGCCCAUGUGUCAACUCUCAGGGUCCCGAAUGAAGAUGAGAUGGGCCAGCCCUUGCUGAAGAGGCCACCAGUAAAACCUGCCAAGAUGUCACAGGGACAUCCUGCGGUCAGUCCUAGGGAACUGAACUUCUUUUUUCUAAAAUUGCAACGAUAUUUAUUAAGAUUUCUUAAAACUGCUUUUAAUUCUCUUUAGUGUCAUGAUUCCAUUUGGAAAUUUUUCUUGUUUCCUAGAUGUACCUGGUAUGUUGUGAUAUGUUUACAAAUGGGAUAAGGAAAAAAAACUAAAAUAAUGGGAAAAAAGCACCUGUAUAAAAAAAAUGGCCUCGGUGAGGCAGAAUGCAAAAGAGGUGACAUCAUGCCUGGUCUGCAGAGACUGUGCCUGCCGGCCUGCUCUUUUGGAACUCUCUGGAGCCACCAGUACGCGGGCCUCUCACUGUUGUGGCCUCUGGCCUCUCCCGUUGCGGAGCACAGACUCCGGACACGUAGGCUCAGCGGCCAUGGCUCACGGGCCCAGCCUCUCCGCGGCAUAUGGGAUCUUCCCGGACCGGAGCACGAACCCGUGUCCCCUGCAUCGGCAGGCAGACUCCCAACCACUGCGCCACCAGGGAAGCCCAUAUAUAGGAAAUUUUGAAAUGAACUACAAAAGGCUCUCCUGCAGGCCUAUUCACAUUGCCCUCUCUUUGCUGAAGGUGGAGGGCCUUUGCCUGCGUGGUGUUGGCUAGGUGAAAAAGCUGCUUCUUCAAAGAAUUCAAAACUGCUGAGAUCACCCCACGAUGAAGGAUCCUGAAACAAUGUGGGAGGCACAGAACUUUGAGACAGUGUGUGCAUGAUGUGUGCCAUCACCUGAAACACAGCACUGAGAAAGAGAUGCUGAACGCAAAGAAAACACCUGGCCCACUUGCUUGACCUCCUGAGAAACAGCUUCGGGAUGAACAGUUGUUCUGGUACACUGCAUGGUGCGUCUGCCAUGCUGCCUCAAGGCUGGCCCUGCCCUGGUGCUGCAGGGACCUCCUGGCACUCUAUCAUUUGCAUGCAGUUCAAAGCAAAAAGAAGACUUUUUGAUAGCACAUUUUGGCAAUGUUCAUCCUCUGUCUGAUGGGGGAUGCAGUAAAUGCUUUUUAACCAACCGGGAAACAAAGGAAAUGAAUUGAGUGUCUGCUUUUGUGGUACUGAAUUCAAGUUUGUUUCACCAGAGAUGGUUUGUCUCAGUGAAUCCGUUGGGACUGGUAAUCAAUGUUUUGUGGAGAAAGCCAUGCGCCAACAAAUUAACAUAUUACCAAUUCACAUAUAUUGAAAGAUGGCUUUAAGCUCCGAGGGAACAUAAUUCUUAAUGUGCUAUCCAAAAGCAAAGCACAAUUUUAGGGAAACACAAAGGAGUAAACAAAGUACAAAAAAACA